rnacentral:rRNA from 1 species
AAAGACGAUGGCGGCGUGCCUAAUACAUGCAAGUCGAGCGGACUUUUAAAAGCUUGCUUUUAAAAGUCAGCGGCGGACGGGUGAGUAACAUGUGGGCAACCUGCCUGUAAGACUGGGAUAACUUCGGGAAACCGGAGCUAAUACCGGAUACGUUCUUCUCUUGCAUGAGAGAAGAUGGAAAGAUGGUUUCGGCUAUCACUUACAGAUGGGCCCGCGGCGCAUUAGCUAGUUGGUGGGGUAAUGGCCCACCAAGGCGACGAUGCGUAGCCGACCUGAGAGGGUGAUCGGCCACACUGGGACUGAGACACGGCCCAGACUCCUACGGGAGGCAGCAGUAGGGAAUCUUCCGCAAUGGACGAAAGUCUGACGGAGCAACGCCGCGUGAACGAUGAAGGCUUUCGGGUCGUAAAGUUCUGUUGUUAGGGAAGAACAAGUACCAGAGUAACUGCUGGUACCUUGACGGUACCUAACCAGAAAGCCACGGCUAACUACGUGCCAGCAGCCGCGGUAAUACGUAGGUGGCAAGCGUUGUCCGGAAUUAUUGGGCGUAAAGCGCGCGCAGGUGGUUCUUUAAGUCUGAUGUGAAAGCCCACGGCUCAACCGUGGAGGGUCAUUGGAAACUGGGGAACUUGAGUGCAGAAGAGGAAAGUGGAAUUCCACGUGUAGCGGUGAAAUGCGUAGAGAUGUGGAGGAACACCAGUGGCGAAGGCGACUUUCUGGUCUGUAACUGACACUGAGGCGCGAAAGCGUGGGGAGCGAACAGGAUUAGAUACCCUGGUAGUCCACGCCGUAAACGAUGAGUGCUAAGUGUUAGAGGGUUUCCGCCCUUUAGUGCUGCAGCUAACGCAUUAAGCACUCCGCCUGGGGGAGUACGGCCGCAAGGCUGAAACUCAAAUGAAUUGACGGAAGGGCGAA